rnacentral:tRNA from 1 species
UGUAAAUUAGUGUAAAUAAGCACAUAAAUUUUUGAUAUUUAAGGUUAACGUUUAAUUCUUUUAUUUACAA